CUUUAUUUGCGCAGCAUAGGUGGGAGGCAUUGAGUUUAUUCUUGCGGGAAUUUAGGAGCCAUCAGUGAGAUACCACUCUGGUAAUGUUAGAUUUCUAACUUUGUAUCAUGAUCUGGUCAAAGAACAGUUUCAGGCGGGCAGUUUGACUGGGGCGGUCGCCUCCCAAAUGGUAACGGAGGCGUACAAAGGUUUCCUCUGAACGUGUAGAAAUCGUAUCUAGAGUGUAAAGGCAUAAGGAAGCUUGACUGUGAGACCUACAAGUCGAGCAGGGACGAAAGUCGGUCUUAGUGAUCUGACGGUGCUGAGUGGAAAGGCCGUCACUCAACGGAUAAAAGUUACUCUAGGGAUAACAGGCUGA
rnacentral:rRNA from 1 species